rnacentral:lncRNA from 1 species
CCGGGCCCCGCGGGGCUGUGGCUGAAGGGGAGCGGACCGACCCUGCGGCCGCCGGGUUUGUGCAGCCGCCAGCUGACGAGGAGGAGCAGGAUCGUAAACAGCCGGUUCCAUCUGAUGGACGGGGCAGCAGCCGGAGGGCACGGACUGGGAGUCCAGCUGAGCUGAAGCAGUGAAGAUGAGUGCUGACUCAAGAAGUCAUUUUGCUGUGUUGUACAGCAGAAAAGGUGAGAAAUUCAAGAUUCAGAGCAGGAUCUGUGACAGCUUUUGGAGGACACUGUAAGGAGAUGUGAACAAAGGUACUG